ACUGGCUGGAAAACCACCUGCGAAGUCACAGGUGGCCGCAGGUGAGAUUCGGCUCCCAAAGCAACCAGGGGCCUUAGCUCGCCGCCUAUUGCCUGCGUGCAGGCAGCCGAAACCCGGAUCCCAACAGGC
rnacentral:snoRNA from 1 species